rnacentral:misc_RNA from 1 species
UCGCAUCUCUGGCGGCGCUGGGUGCGCCCUGCUCCGGCCGCAAAGCCGUGCAGCGGGCGUCCCGGCCCGUCCAACCUUUGCAAACCCACUGUGCACAUUCACGGCGGAUGGCCCCCUGUGGGCCUGAAGCCGCUUCACCAACCCCAAGUUACAAACGAAUGUGAUGCGGCAUCUGUCGCCCAACAAACAUAA